AGCUCGUAGGCGGUUUGUCACGUCUGUCGUGAAAGUCCGGGGCUUAACCCCGGAUCUGCGGUGGGUACGGGCAGACUAGAGUGCAGUAGGGGAGACUGGAAUUCCUGGUGUAGCGGUGGAAUGCGCAGAUAUCAGGAGAAACACCGAUGGCGAAGGCAGGUCUCUGGGGCUGUAACUGACCGCUGAGGAGCGAAAGCAUGGGGAGCGAACAGGAUUAGAUACCCUGGUAGUCCAUGCCGUAAACGUUGGGCACUAGGUGUGGGGACCAUUCCACGGUUUCCGCGCCGCAGCUAACGCAUUAAGUGCCCCGCCUGGGGAGUACGGCCGCAAGGCUAAAACUCAAAGGAAUUGACGGGGGCCCGCACAAGCGGCGGAGCAUGCGGAUUAAUUCGAUGCAACGCGAAGAACCUUACCAAGGCUUGACAUGUUUUCGACCGCCGUGGAGACACGGUUUCCCCUUUGGGGCGGAUUCACAGGUGGUGCAUGGUUGUCGUCAGCUCGUGUCGUGAGAUGUUGGGUUAAGUCCCGCAACGAGCGCAACCCUCGUUCCAUGUUGCCAGCACGUAGUGGUGGGGACUCAUGGGAGACUGCCGGGGUCAACUCGGAGGAAGGUGAGGACGACGUCAAAUCAUCAUGCCCCUUAUGUCUUGGGCUUCACGCAUGCUACAAUGGCCGGUACAAUGGGUUGCGAUACUGUGAGGUGGAGCUAAUCCCAAAAAGCCGGUCUCAGUUCGGAUUGGGGUCUGCAACUCGACCCCAUGAAGUCGGAGUCGCUAGUA
rnacentral:rRNA from 1 species